GUAGAGUUUGACCUGGCUCAUAUGAACAUUCUGUGAUUGUAAGUUUAUAAGAUUUUUGGAAGUUUCAGUGGUCUGUUAGGCGAACCGUAAAUCCGAUCAGUCGAAUAGGUGUUGCACCAACUGAAUUUUUAAACACAAAACUUUCAUUUUUUUAAAUAAACAGACUUAUAUUUGUUUUUUAUUUAAUUUUUAAAGUACAGAGUUAGCCUACUUUAAUCCUGUUGCUCCAGUACUAAACAUUUUAUUUAAAUUUUAGGGCAGUGUUUAAACGGGCAGGCUGCUCUGUCACCAGCAAAGGUGGCCACUCUCUGCAGCGAAUCGCACCUGUUGUUCCCUUCGAUACUUCAUGUGUAACGUAGACUAACCCAGAGCCGUUGAAAAACAGAGUUGCGAGACUGCCAUAGGAACUUUAGAAUGCGGAAGUAACGCGUGUCGUGGAGCAGCCAAUAGUUCCAAACACUGAUAGUUCCAGCGCUGAACUUCACACAUUUUCAAUGUUUCUGAAGUACGCUCGCUGGAGGUGAAAAACAAGUCUAAACCAAGACUUAAACUUAGAUAAAGUAAUUGUCAGUAAUUUAAGUUCCAGCUGUCGAACAGGUGGGAUUUAAUUUGCAAAGCCAUACACUGUAAGCCAUCACUGUAUGUGUGUGUUGUUUUGUUUGUUUUCAACAGGAUGGAUUAUCGGUGGGGAGUGGAGCAGUGGCCAGGCUGGGGGAGCUUGUGGUUCCUGUAAGCAAUGGAGUGAUGAUGAAGCUGGUUUAAAUUUGAACAGUGGGGUGCUGAAGCUGGUGGGGUGAUGGUGAGGCUAUCAUGGCAUGAAGGAAGCCUGCUGUCCAAGAGCCUACCCUCUCUCUCCAGCAUAUCCAUGGCAUUUGGAUCCAUAAAGGAGCCACUGGUCCUAGUUCGGAACAGCUCCUCAAUUUGCCGGACUAAAUCGAAGGCCUCUUGUGACGGCCGACAAAGUACACCUGGCUUGAACUCUUUCAGCUUCAGUAAAACACUGUGAUUUCCUUCAGGACUGUCAUCAUUGUGCUUAAUUGCACUUUGGCAACCCUCACAAAUCUUGGAAUAUUUAAUCACUUAAUUGAUAUUCACUUGUUGUGCAUGUACAGUACAGGUCAAAAGUUUGGAAACAUUACUAUUUUUAAUGUUUUUGAAAGAAGUCUCUUCUGCUCAUCAAGCCUGCAUUUAUUUGAUCAAAAAUACAGAAAAAACAGUAAUAUUGUGAAAUAUUAUUACAACUUAAAAUAAUAGUUUUCUAUUUGAAUAUACUUUAAAAAAAAAAAAUUAAUUCCUGUGAUGCAAAGACUGAAUUUUCUAGCAUCAUUACUCCAGCCUUCAGUGUCACAUGUAACAUCCAGUCUAUCACAUGAUCAUUUAGAAAUCAUUCUAAUAUUCUGAUUUAUUAUGAGUGUUGGAAACAGUUCUGCUGUCUAAUAUAUUUGAUGAAUAAAAGGUUAAAAAGAACUGCAUUU
rnacentral:lncRNA from 1 species